GCAUGCAAGCCAUUAGAAACCAUUCCAAAUGAGGCUGAUGCUCGCCUCAUUGAUUGUGCCAUGGAGCUGGAUUCUAAACAGAAAAUCUCCACCGACUGUGGUCCUUGGACUACAAAGACAAAGCAAAAUUCAAUGACUUUUGAAAACCAUGGAAGCAGAGGUACUGCCCAGCCUUGCCCAAGAUGUAUUGCUGGAGAAUCUGGGCACUUCAGUCAUAUCCUGGGCUUCUAGAAAUUGAGAGACGGCAGACCAGCAACACUGCUUUUCUUUUUAAAUUCUAAAGAUGCACCUGUGAACCCUGUACAGCUGGGUAUCUGUACAUUCACUCAUGGCAUGGAUUUGUGUGUGGUAUUCAGCAUAUAGCAGUUUGCUAUAUGUGUUACUCUUUCAGUGCACAAUUAUGGAUAUCAUUGUUUUUACACUUGAAAAAAUGCUUCUGCUUUUAAGGUAGCUCAGUAUAUGUUAAAAAAAAAAAAAGUUGAUUAAUGUUUUAGAGUAGUUAAGUUGAUCUGGCCUUUGGCCCAGUCUUCACCUGGGACUGGGCCAAAGGUCAUGUUGAUACAAGAGAUUUUUCUGUCUCUCUUGGGCACUUUCUCUGAUACUCUUGGAAAGCGGCCCUUGCAUUUACAUGGGUACAGGGCCUGCAGUUUUAGCUCAGCCCUGUAUAUGCAGCAGAAAUGGGAGGACAGAAAUGUCUGCAUUUUUAGAUGGCUAUUCAGCUGUGAAGGCCAGUAAAAAUCCCAUUGAAACUUACGUUUAAAUCCAAAAUAUGCAUCCAAUUCAGGUAUCUUACACGCUAAACUUCUUGUUUGUUUAUAACAAGCAGAGUUUGCGAAUGUGGCAGGUAAAUAUCUAAUAGAAGAAGCAGUAUUACUUGAACAACCCUCCGUAAAGUGAAGAUGAAUCGUAAUUCAGCUCUGUGGAGUUCUCACAAAGUUGUUAAGAUACCAUCUGUCACUCCCUGACUCUGUCUUUCCAGUUAUUGUGAUAUUAGAACAAAUCUGUUUAAAAAGUCUUAAACUUGUCAUCCAACAUGAUUUUACUGGCUUGUCACAAAUAAUUUCAUCUAUGUUUUGCCAGUAUAUAGGACUAUAUAAUUUUUAAACACAUGCAAAUUUUUAGACUCUUAAGAUAGCCGAGUUGUGCUAUUUGGGUGUGACACUUCAGUGGCUGCUCUGGGAUAGGCAGAAGAGUCCUGAAAGCUCAGAACUGAAUGGCAGUACGUUAACCCUCUGCAUUGGAGGGAAAUUGCUGUGACCUGCCGAAGUUCACAAAGAAAGCAAUCUCCGCUGUCUGGAGAACUGCUGAGCUAUAGCUGUGCCCUGCUGCCAGUCAGCUUUCGGGCAGAGUUCAACCCAAAACAGA